rnacentral:lncRNA from 1 species
AUUGUGAUUGGGGAGGGGGAACUUGGAGAACUUCUGAAAUAUCAGUAACAUUAAAAGGAACAUAACCUGGGCGCGGUGGCUCACACCUCAAAACAGCAUGGUACUGGUACCAAAACAGAGAUAUAGAUCAAUGGAACAGAGUAGUUGGCUUUUAAAGUUCUUUUCAGUGGAGGUUCCAGGAGUCUUUGCUUAAAGGAAGGUGCACCAAUCUGGUUUCCCCCUGCAGUAUGGGCUGUUCUUUCUCUUUUCUCAGUCUCCAGUGUUCACUUACCCUUUUUGGCUGGACUUCUGAAUGUUGGGAGUCACCUGAGGCA